UAAGCAAAUAGUGAAAUCUUGUGGCUCAACCAUAAGGCUAUUAUUUAAACUGGCAGACUCGAGAAUGAGAGAGGUCACUGGAAUUCCCUGUGUAGGAGUGAAAUCCGUAGAUAUAGGGAGGAACACCAAUGGCGUAGGCAGGUGACUGACUCAUUUCUGACACUGAGGCACGAAAGCGUGGGGAGCGAACGGGAUUAGAUACCCCGGUAGUCCACGCCGUAAACGAUGGAUGCUA
rnacentral:rRNA from 1 species